rnacentral:misc_RNA from 1 species
CCUUUCUACGGAGAUUUCAGGCUUCUGUUUGGGAGCCGUUGUUUCGCCCCUUGUGGCCGGGAUGCUCCCGGUCGUGCGGGGGGUUGCUGGUGUGGAAGAGAUCGGAUUCGGCUCGCCUGUGUGCCUGUCGUGGGCGUGUGGGGGUGGUAUGGGCGCGUUCUUGGGUUCCCGGGCCGCCACGCCGGGUGUUUUGCCUGGUGCGGGUGCCCUGCCCCGCGGGGGCCGGUUUGCGUGAUUGGUUUCGCGUGUGCCGGUUUGCGUGGGUGCGGUGGUGGUUUGAGAACUGGAGAGUGGACGCGAGCGAGCAUCCGGGUGUGUCCCGGGUGUCUCGUUGUUGAUUUCGUUCGGACUCCAAACUUGUUUUGGUGUUCGUUUGCGAUCGUUUUGUGAUCUGAUGUUGUCGAUGAUUUGUCGUCUGGCAUUGUGUCGUUGCUUGCGGGCCG